rnacentral:rRNA from 1 species
UACGUAGGGUGCGAGCGUUGUCCGGAAUUAUUGGGCGUAAAGGGCUCGUAGGCGGUCUGUCGCGUCAGGAGUGAAAACUCGGGGCUUAACCCCGAGCCUGCUUCUGAUACGGGCAGACUAGAGGUAUGCAGGGGAGAACGGAAUUCCUGGUGUAGCGGUGAAAUGCGCAGAUAUCAGGAGGAACACCAGUGGCGAAGGCGGCUUACUGGUCCAUAACUGACGCUGAGGUGCGAAAGCGUGGGGAGCAAACAGG